AGCAGCCGCGGUAAUUCCAGCUCCAAUAGCGUAUAUUAAAGUUGUUGCAGUUAAAAGCUCGUAGUUGAAUUUCGGGGUUAGUAGGUUGGUCAUGCCUCUGGUAUGUACUGGUCUCACUGAUUCCUCCUUCCUGAUGAGCCGUAAUGCCAUUAAUUUGGUGUUGCGGGGAAUUUGGACUGUUACUUUGAAAAAUUAGAGUGUUUAAAGCAAGCUAACGCUUGAAUACAUUAGCAUGGAAUAAUGAAAUAGGACGUUCGAUCCUAUUUUGUUGGUUUCUAGGAUUGACGUAAUGAUUAAUAGGGAUAGUUGGGGGCAUUAGUAUUCAAUUGUCAGAGGUGAAAUUCUUGGAUUUAUUGAAGACUAACUACUGCGAAAGCAUUUGCCAAGGAUGUUUUCAUUAAUCAAGAACGAAAGUUAGGGGAUCGAAGACGAUCAGAUACCGUCGUAGUCUUAACCAUAAACUAUGCCGACUAGGGAUCGGAUGAUGUAUUUUUAAUGACUCAUUCGGCGCCUUACGGGA
rnacentral:rRNA from 1 species